rnacentral:tRNA from 2 species
GUUCUCGUAGCUCAGCUGGAUAGAGCGUCCGCCUCCUAAGCGGAAGGUCGUGUGUUCGAAUCACAUCGGGAACG